rnacentral:lncRNA from 10 species
UACACACCCCCGGUCCCCAGUUCCUGGGGCCCCUGCCAGUGCUGACUCAUAGGGGGAGCCCAGGGCUGCGACACAGCAGCAGCUCUUCCUGAACCUCUCCCUGGGAGAUUUCACCUCCUGUCCCCUUGGGGGUCUCCGUGGGGACCCAAGGGUCUGGCUCUAUCGCCCAGGCUGGAGUACAGUGGCACGAUCUCUGCUCACUGUAUCCUCCGCCUCCCGGAUUCAAGCCAUCCUCCCAUUUCUUUCAGCCUCCCAAAUAGUUGGGGCAACAGGCACCUGCCACCACGCCUGGCUGAUUUUUUUGUAUUUUUAGUAGAGAUAGGUCUUGCUAUGUUGCCCAGGCUGGUCUCGAACUCCUAGACUCAAGCAAUCCACCCGUCUUGGCCUCUUAAAGUGCUGGGAUUACAGGCAUGAGCCACUGCUCCCAGGCUAGUUACUGUCCCUUCUAAUGCAUCCAGAAUCCUGACUUCUCCAAGGCCCACCCUGGUCCGGCUUCCAUCAUCUCUCCCCAGAAUUGCUCCAGUUGCCACCUCUCUGCACACCUUGCAGCCCCCGACAGUCUGUCCCCAUCCCCCUAAUCCCCUCCCCACCACAGCAGCCGGGGCGGGGCGCCUGUGAGCACCCAAGUCAGGUCCAGUCCCUCCUCUGCUCAGAACCCUCAAUGGCUCCCACCUUAUUCAGAGCAAAAGCCAAAGUCCUCCCCAGGACCCAGAAGGCUUUGCACAGUCUCCUGUCUCCUCUCUGCCUCACCCUCUCC